GAUGAACGCUAGCGGCAGGCCUAAUACAUGCAAGUCGAGGGGCAGCGGGAGUAGCAAUACUUGCCGGCGACCGGCGCACGGGUGCGUAACACGUAUACAAUCUGCCUUCUACUGGGGAUAGCCUUGGGAAACUGAGAGUAAUACCCUAUAGUAUUGACUGGAGGCAUCUUUGGUUGAUUAGAGCUGAGGCGAUGAUGGAUUGGGUGUGCGUCUGAUUAGGUAGUUGGUGGGGUAACGGCCUACCAAGCCGACGAUCAGUAGGGGGCGUGAGAGCGUGAUCCCCCACACGGGUACUGAGAUACGGACCCGACUCCUACGGGAGGCAGCAGUAAGGAAUAUUGGUCAAUGCCCGGAAGGGUGAACCAGCCAUGCCGCGUGCAGGAUGACGGCCCUAUGGGUUGUAAACUGCUUUGGAUAGGAAGAAUGGAUUGUAUUGAUAUGAUUUUGACGGUACUAUCAGAAUAAGCACCGGCUAAC
rnacentral:rRNA from 1 species